rnacentral:tRNA from 1 species
GCAUUGAUGGUUCAGUGCAAAUUCUUGCCUUCCAUGCAGGGGACCUGGGUUCGAUUCCUGGCCAAUGCA